rnacentral:rRNA from 1 species
AUACAUGCAAGUAGAACGCUGAAGAGAGGAGCUUGCUCUUCUUGGAUGAGUUGCGAACGGGUGAGUAACGCGUAGGUAACCUGCCUUGUAGCGGGGGAUAACUAUUGGAAACGAUAGCUAAUACCGCAUAACAAUGGAUGACACAUGUCAUUUAUUUGAAAGGGGCAAUUGCUCCACUACAAGAUGGACCUGCGUUGUAUUAGCUAGUAGGUGAGGUAACGGCUCACCUAGGCGACGAUACAUAGCCGACCUGAGAGGGUGAUCGGCCACACUGGGACUGAGACACGGCCCAGACUCCUACGGGAGGCAGCAGUAGGGAAUCUUCGGCAAUGGGGGCAACCCUGACCGAGCAACGCCGCGUGAGUGAAGAAGGUUUUCGGAUCGUAAAGCUCUGUUGUAAGUCAAGAACGAGUGUGAGAGUGGAAAGUUCACACUGUGACGGUAGCUUACCAGAAAGGGACGGCUAACUACGUGCCAGCAGCCGCGGUAAUACGUAGGUCCCGAGCGUUGUCCGGAUUUAUUGGGCGUAAAGCGAGCGCAGGCGGUUUGAUAAGUCUGAAGUUAAAGGCUGUGGCUCAACCAUAGUUCGCUUUGGAAACUGUCAAACUUGAGUGCGGAAGGGGAGAGUGGAAUUCCAUGUGUAGCGGUGAAAUGCGUAGAUAUAUGGAGGAACACCGGUGGCG